UCAGGGUUUAUCUUGUAUCAUUAAUAGUGAGCAUUUGCCUUGCCUAUUAUAUCUAAUUCUGAGUUCUGUGGGUUAAGGUAACGUCAAGCAUUUGGAAUGGAUUCAGAUAAGGGCCAGCCUGGCUGGUGCCAGAGCAGGGCACAGAGCCUGUUUCCUACCGAUCCUGGAUCCUGACAGUGUGACUCCACGUGUGGCUUCUCCCUGCCACGGUCAUAGAGUUGAUCCUGUCUCAGUUUACGUACAGCGAGAAGGAUUCAUUCCAGUGUAUGAGUCACUUCUUCCUGAAAUCACGUGGGGUUUUCUAACAUAUCUUUGGAAGGUGAUGUCCUGCGUUGUAUGCUCCAGCAGAGAGGGGAGUCCCUCUGUUACAGCCCAGCUAUGCUGUAUUCUGUAUCACUACAAUACUGUUGACUGGAAGUGAAAACAACGGAUAUAAAUGAUGCCACUCACUCUGAGGAUCAAGGCUUUAGAAACCCUGCUUUCCUUCAAGGCUGUCUUCUUUCUGAUUGCUUAUUUUGUAAGAGUUUUAUUUAUAAAAAAUAUUCUGUGUAUGCGCCAACAGCCCAUGGAAAUAAAGCAAACGACCCUGAGAAAGAGGUAAACAAGUUGUUUACAGUGCUGGGCAGCAGGGCUCCGGG
rnacentral:lncRNA from 1 species